rnacentral:lncRNA from 1 species
CAAAGCUGGAACUUACAUUCCCUGGAAAUUUUGGUUUCCUCGUUGCCCUUGGAGACUCUCACCAGCUGCGGUUAAACUCGGCUCUCUGCCUCCCGGUGGAAAACGCUACCAGGUGAAGAGACGUGGCCGGGCUGGGCCUUCUGGCAUGCAGAUUCCAACCGACGGGCACCCCGCUCACGUCUCGCAGCCCCAAGAGGUCCCACGCGUGAUGAAAUCUAUUGACUCACCGUUUCUUUCUGCAGUCGUGGGUCUUUCUCUGAAAACGUGGCAGAAUCCAAUCGUCACAGUCAGCUUCUGACACUCAGCUCGCCCGACCUAGACCUGGUCAUCCCCAGAGAGAAACAUCUGGGGAAAGCUUCUAAGGAAAGCCAUUUUCUUCUCCCCAAGUUGGUCCCUUAACUCUGGAAAACUUUGGGAGUAAUACAUCAACAACCCGCUGUUCCAAAGUUUAUGACUGAUUUCUAAAUGUUUCACAAAGUGUUGACUAUUUCUUCUGUGGGACUCCGGAAACAAAC